rnacentral:rRNA from 1 species
GUGGGGAAUUUUCCGCAAUGGGCGAAAGCCUGACGGAGCAACGCCGCGUGAGGGAUGAAGGCCUCUGGGCUGUAAACCUCUUUUAUCAAGGAAGAAGAUCUGACGGUACUUGAUGAAUAAGCCACGGCUAAUUCCGUG